CUGUGUUUGGAUUCAAUGCAGUCACUCAUUAUUCAGCAAUGCUUAAGCAAUAGCACAACGGUACAAUGUUCCUCUGACACCAAACCAAGGUGGAGUGAGUUAGGUGAAUCAUUCUGUAGCCUUCAACGCGCUACUUUCUUGUUACUAGUCAUUCAUUUUGUUAUCACAUCUGUGAGUUUUAUUGACCGAGAGUAUUUGAUAUGGCAAAAGUUACCGCAAAUAAAUAUCACCUGGUUUUUAGUUGCAUUUUUUAUAAUUUUGGUGCAAGUUACUUUCACUGUUCUCCUAGAUCUUAUAGUAGAUGCUCAGUACGUAACCUUUUUGGAUUUACCGAUGAACAUCCUUUAUCUUGCUUAUCUGUCACCUCUAGUCAGCUUGUUGUUCAAUGAACUGAUCAGUAAAUAUAUUGAAAUUAAGUAAGUACUGAUUUCUUAUGUUGCUCUCUUAUUUUUUAUCUUAAAAAUAAAUCGGAGGCAGAUUCCAUAUCAAAUCAGAUCAUUGCAGACUCUCCUAUUUCUCUCAAAUUGAUUCUUUUCCAUUAAACGUUUUAUCAAGAAAAGUUUCAGUCAGAAAUAAUAUUUAGAACUAGCUCAAAUGCCUUAAAGUUAUAACAACAAUUUCACUCUUUUAAGGAAGAAAAACAAACCCUGUUGUUGAGAUCGGAUAUGGAUGUAAAAAAUGCCAACACAAAGGAAACUCAUAUAUUUUUCCCAUUAUGUAUGGACGGAUUAGCUAAGCUACAUCAGUUUUUGUCUAGUUUUCUCUGAUUUUUUCAUGUUUCUAACAGAAAAUUAUGAUACUUUGAAAUUUGAAAUUUUCUGAGUAUAUUCUUCAUAAUUUACAGUAAAUUCUCAAAAAGUUUAAGGUGCUAAGUAGUUUACUUUUCUGUUAAAAAAAUGAAACAUGAGAGAAAAUUAGGUCAUGUGAAAUACUAUUAGACUGAUUUCAGUUACAUAUGUUUAAAUUAGACUUGGAGGGUUUAGGGGCAAAACAAUUUACGCUAUGGGUGGUUGUGCAGAGGCUAAAGGAAGCCAUCACCUGCACUGUCAAACUUUCCCACCGCAAAAUUAAAACCGGCUUCCUAUAUAAUUUAAUCUGCCUAUAUUAUUGUUUAAAAGCUCUUGCUUUAAUAUUCGAUAUUUUUUGUAACGCUAAUUUUCAUUUUCUCUUUCUGAAGCGAGAACACAAGAAUCAGACGGAAAAUCAAAUUGGAAUUCAACACAAAGCUGGGAAUGAACUCACCUUUCUAAUCAGAAUUUGUUCACUUGUAACAGCUUGCAGCAUAGUUGUUAACCAAUCCGUGGGUCAUUAAAAUAAUUUUCAUCCGAUCAAAUAGUUAAUUGAAAGCAAGCCUCCUGAUAAACUGAUGCCCUAAUCAACGGCUUCAAUUUUGAUUUCAAAGUGGGAACCUUAGCUAAAUUCAACCUUAUUGAGAAGGCUUUUCAGCGAGGAUUGAACCACAUGCAACGUUAAAUUAUCAAAUGGUGUUAAUGAAAAAUGUCCUCCGAAACAGGAGUGUGGAUGUGGAAAGGAAUCCACUAAACAAAGACUUUCGCAAAUAUUUCUGAAUGAAAAAAUUAAGUAUUUGGUAUUCUUGUUUGAAUUUGUUCUUUUUUGUGUGAAUAAACUCAUGUGUUUAUCUUUUGUUAGUGAAUCUCAUUAAGUAUUUUAGUCAAUAAUUAGUGAAAUUUUACAAAGUAGGUAUUUGUUCGGUAUAUUCGCUGUUUAUUUGUUUAAUUCUGCCUAACAUAGACUGUUUGUUUUUACUUAAUUAAUAUUAAAAACAAUUAUGUAAUUAUCUCCUUAUGUGAGAAUUUUCUUUGCGACUAGACCUCCUGGGGUCCGACUGAGAUACAAAUACACAAUCAAUUUAAGACUAAUAGUUAUUUUCUCAAUUUACUCUGGGCCAAUCAUUGAAAUUGAUGUAUAAAGGGAAGGACAUAGAAGGCAAAUAGAACAUGUAGGGAUUCUAUUAAUAGAACCGGGUGGUUGCAAUGGACGAAGGAGCCAAAUAAUAGACUGACUAACGGCAACCUACAAGAGACCCUAUAAUUCAUCAGCGUCCAUCGUUUCCCUCCUAGUCUAUAGCAACCUCCCUUUUAAACCAAUAGGAUUCCUCCAUUUUUUCCUUUGUCUUUUUGUCUAUACAUAUGUCUACUGCUUUCAAUUCUCAGCCUGCUGAUCAGUAAACUUUAGCAUUAUUAAGGUCCUCCUGUGCUUUUACCGGAGCAGCUUGAAAUGCAAGAAUGAGGAUCACGAAUCACAACAGGAUAGAAAUUUUGAAUGUUUAGUUUGUAAGUACCUAGUGUUAAUAGUAACUCGAGUCGAAUUUGGAGAAAAAGCAUGGUCAAGAGGGAGUAUAUUAAGGGGGUAUUGAGGGAGUAUAUUAAGGGGGUAUUGAGGGAGUAUAUUAAGGGGGUAUUGAGGGAGCAUUAGAGAAUAAUUACCUUUCUCUUGAUUACCUCUGCUACAACCCUAUGAGCCCAAUUCUAGGGAGCCAAAAUGUUUGUGCACUCUGAUAUUUUUUGAACAAAUUUCACCACAAAAAUGAAAAUUGUAACUUGAUGAUACUUAGGUAUAGAACAAAAAUAUAUUUCUCGGUGCAUUGCACACUUUCCAGCAUUUUAGUUCCAUUGAUGAAUUUUCUGUUCGAUAGAUUGUUUAGAUGAGUCAAAUUGAACAAGUAGGUUCGACAUUUGUAUCACAUAUCUAGAAACAUGGGAGUACUCAAAAUCUUCCGGCUGAUACUUCAUCCAUUCAUCAUGUUUCUGUUGUCCAUAAUUAGUUUUACCAAUUUAAUGUUACUCGUACCUGGAUAGAUAAGUGGUUUUCAAACUUUUUAAAUGGGAAAGCUUGCAUUAGUCAAUUUACCAAUCUUGAGUAUUUACUAUUACCUCUUGCUAAGUUUUAGUUUCUUUUUGUCACUCAAACUGGGGUUCUUUUUCUCCAAAAAUGUUGCAUUUCUGCAUGUCUUUGCUUUUGCACAAGAAUGUCAAUGGAUUUUUAAUUUGGUAUAAAGAAUCUCUCCUUAAUAUUCUCUAUGAAAUUUUUUACUCUCCCGUCCCCUUUUUUUGAACAAGUUUAUUAGCUGCAUUUUUUCAUGUAUUAAUCUGAAAAUCAUCUUUGUUCCAACAUUGUUCUGACCCCAUUCAUUUUUCAGAAUGAAGUAUUCUGUAAAAUUAAAACAAGCUUAGUGAGCAGGAUAAAAAUUUGGAAGGAAAAAAAAAUUGAAAUUGCUAAUCAGUGAAAUUUCAAUCGGAAAUCCACAAUUUCUAUUUUCAGCGAAAACCUUAGCUACUGAACUCAUCAAAAAUUCCUUCAGUAAUGAUUACUUCCCUGUGAAAUUGCUAAUAGAUUAAUUAUCAAAUUUCAUUACAAAUCCUCUCUCUUCUUCUGCUUAUCCAAGAAUUUAUUAGCAAAGAUUUGUAAAAUUCCAGAAAGAUGGCAAGCUUUAUCGCUGUGUAAGUAUGUGUUAUUUUUUAUUUUUUGCUGUACCUAAGGACUUCCAUUGUUGAAUUAAAAAUAAAUAUAUUUGACUUUACAUGCAGCCUGUAUUUUCAUGUCCUAUGUUCACCUUUCCAAGACCAUGUUUUUGUGUGAGAUGUAUCCACAUCCACAGUGAAACUCCUAAACCAUAUACCCAUUUACGACUUUAAAAAAUCUCUGUUCCUUUUUUAUUUUUUAACUCUUAGAUACCUAAAACUUUUUGAAGUCUUGGAUCAAAUUGAUCCGCAUUUAAAUAAGUGAUUUGGUAGUUUUUUGAAGUAGUAUCCACUUUAUUGAAGAUAUGAAAUACUUUUUCGAAAUUUUCACCUUUUUGGUAACAUACCG
rnacentral:lncRNA from 1 species